GACCUCAUAGCUUAGUUGGUAAAAGCGCCUCCUCUUUGUGGACGUCCUCUAUGAAGUUUGGGAGGAGUCCUGGGUUCGAGCCCCAGUGAGGCCA